ensembl:lncRNA
GAAAACUCCAGGCCAGUUCAAAGGUGUGUGUUGACAGGUUCCUGCCAAUCACCAAAUUGCUCCAUAGGAAUUAAUUUUCCAGAAAGGGAAACCCAUGUUGGGGGUUGGGCCGAGCAGUUGAGAUGCGGAGGGGGGAUAAAGGAAUAGAGAGAAGUAAAGUCACAGAAAGAGAAGAAAAUAACUACGGUGGCACAGGCAGAGAGGAAGAACAAAGCAGCAAACAGAACAAAAAAAAAAAAAAGAAAGAAAGAAAAUUAAAAAAAGAAGAAGAAAAGAAAGGAAAUAAAACCAGAGAAAUUGCUCAGAUUUGUAACUCUGGACUGAUAGAAACCACUG